GAGCGCCCCGCAAGGGGAGCGGCAUACGGGAGUAGUAAUACGUGGGAACGUACCCUUUAGUUCGGAACAACCCAGGGAAACUUGGGCUAAUACCGGAUACGUCCGAAAGGAGAAAGAUUUAUCGCUGAAGGAUCGGCCCACGUCUGAUUAGCUAGUUGGUGAGGUAACGGCUCACCAAGGCGACGAUCAGUAGCUGGUCUGAGAGGAUGAUCAGCCUCACUGGGACUGAGACACGGUCCAGACUCCUACGGGAGGCAGCAGUGGGGAAUAUUGGACAAUGGGGGCAACCCUGAUCCAGCCAUGCCGCGUGGGUGAAGAAGGCCUUCGGGUUGUAAAGC
rnacentral:rRNA from 1 species